rnacentral:rRNA from 14 species
GUCAACUCGGAGGAAGGUGGGGAUGACGUCAAGUCAUCAUGCCCCUUAUGUCCAGGGCUUCACGCAUGCUACAAUGGCCGGUACAAAGGGCUGCGAUACCGCAAGGUGGAGCGAAUCCCAAAAAGCCGGUCUCAGUUCGGAUUGGGGUCUGCAACUCGACCCCAUGAAGUCGGAGUCGCUAGUAAUCGCAGAUCAGCAACGCUGCGGUGAAUACGUUCCCGGGCCUUGUACACACCGCCCGUCACACCAUGGGAGUGGGUUGCACCAGAAGUAGCUAGUCUAACCUUCGGGAGGACGGUUACCACGGUGUGAUUCAUGACUUGGGUGAAGUCGGAACAAGGUAGCCGUACUGAA